GCUGGGCAUGGUGGCGUGUGCCUGUAAUCCCAGACUCAGGAGGCUAAGGCAUGAGAAUCGCUUGAACCCAGGAGGUGGAGGUUGCAGUGAGCCGAGACUGCACCAUUGCACUCCAGCCUGGGUGACAGAGAAAGACUCCAUCUCGUCUUUUUUUUUUUAAGGCAGGGUCUCAUUCUGUCACCCAGGUGGGAGUGCAGUGGUGCAGUCACCACUCACUGCAGCUUCAACUUCCUGGGCUCAAGCAAUCCUCCCCC
rnacentral:lncRNA from 1 species